rnacentral:rRNA from 1 species
UACGUAGGGGGCGAGCGUUGUCCGGAAUCAUUGGGCGUAAAGCGCGUGUAGGCGGCUCGAUAAGUCUGCUGUGAAAAGUCCAGGGCUCAACCCUGGAAUGCCGGUGGAAACUGUUGAGCUUGAGUCCGGAAGAGGCGAGUGGAAUUCCGUGGUGUAGCGGUGAAAUGCGCAGAUAUCAGGAGGAACACCAAUGGCGAAGGCAGCUCGCUGGGACGGUACUGACGCUGAGACGCGAAAGCGUGGGGAGCAAACAGGAUAGAA